CAGGUUUAUGCGAUUCUCCUUGCCUCAGCCUCCCAAGUAGCUGGGAUUACAGGCACACACCACCACGCCUGGCUAACUUUUGUAUUUUUUUUAGUAGAGACGGGGUUUCACCAUGUUGGCCAGGUUGGUCUCAAACUCCUGACCUCAAGUGAUCCGCCCACCUCGGUCUCCCAAAAUGCUGGGAUUACAGGCAUGAACCACCGUGCCUGGCCAAUUUCAAUAUAACUUACACGUUUAGAAACAUUCUGAGAAAUAGUCUGUACAUUUUACAAAACUGCCAAAGGGUCCCACGCAAAAAAAAGAUUCAAAAAUUCCCAUCAACUAAGAGAUCCUCUUAAACCCAUAGCAACUUAAAACCAUUCAUUGACCUAUGCUGAUAAACUAGCAGCCAUGCGUCUGCAUUGGGUGGUGCUGAAAUCCACUCUAUCUUUGUGUUUCCUUGACACAGGGUUGUAGGGGAAGGGUGAUGAAUCUCAGUGGGCCCAGGCAUGUGGCUCCAGUUUUCCUUCCCAGUUUUCCAGUGGGCCUGGGCAUGUGGCAUUCCAAGGAUCCUGAAAGAAUAGGGCAUCUCUUUUGCAGGUCACAGGAAAUGGGUAGCUAUCCAGCUAAAUAGAUUUCAUGCUUGACUUCAGUGGAAUAGCUCAAAUGAUGAUCUGUUUGGGAGAGUAAAUUAAAGAGUUUCCAUCCGAGGUUGGUUGAAUCCACA
rnacentral:lncRNA from 1 species